AAAGCCAUAAUUGAAACAAAGGGAGUGAUAGGUAUGAGUUUCAGGCUUUUUUUUUUCUUUUAAACAUCAGAGUCUAAAGCAAACUGGGGAGUGGUGUGGCUUUUCUGUGCUGCUCUGUUGUCUGGGCUUAGUCUACCUUUGCAGGUAAUUAAUUCCCCAGCCUGCUUAUUUUUUCUAGUUGGCUCUUGUUUAGCUUCCACAGAGCCCCACCCCAGAGUGCUUUAUUGUCCCUCUGCUCACUAUUCCUACAUAUGGUCAAAAUAAACUCACUUUCCGGGUUGCUGACAUCGGCAAAUUCACUGUUUGGCAAACUCGUCUCUGCUCCCAGUAAUCCUUUGUUAAAGAAGUAUUAUUACAAUGGAGUAUCUGGUAGGUAACAACUCAGUCCAAUCCCUUCCACUCCUAGAUAACCUCCCAAGAAAAACUCUUUGUGUCUUUGGAUUUACAGCCACAGGCAGGAUAUUAGCAUUCUCAGACCUGUUGGGUACUAGAGCACUGCUAAUGAGCAAACGGCCUGCCUCAAUUAGUGGUUUGUGAAAUAUUCCUGGAUAUCAAAUUGCUUGUGCUGCUUGAUAAUCACAC
rnacentral:lncRNA from 1 species